CCUUCUGCUCACAUCCCUGUCUGCUCUGGGUAGCUAUGACCACAGCCACAGUUCAGCAGUUCCAGAGCUGCCAAGGCAAGCUUAUCUCCUUGUCCCCUUGGGUGGGAAGAAAACCAGGCUCAACAUGCCACAGCUCCUCCUGCAAACUCUGAGGCUCCCUGCAGCAAUGUUGCUGCCUGUGAGCUGCUGGCUGUGUGCACUGCAGCCCUGUGAGGAGCUCACCCAGCCCUUUCUCCCUUAGGCAGCUGCUGGUCCCUUUCAAGUGCCUGUCCUGCGACCGGCAGCUCAACAUCCAGGUGCCUGGCCCGCACAUUGACACGCUGCCGCUGAUUCCAUCGCUGCCCUGCGGCCACACUGCACAGCCCUCUACCAGUGCCACAGAGAAGCAAGCACAACAGCACGGUCACAGGAAGCUGGUCAACAGCAAGUUCCUCAAAUCGCAUAGCUGCAAGGGUCAGGACACAUCCAGUGCACCACCAAAGGAUGUCCUACACCUCUCCAAAAAGCCUUGCCUGACUGAGCUGCUGGGCACAGAUGAUUCCGUGGAUCAGGGCCAGGAGCAAGGGCCUGAGGUGGCAAAGGAGGCACAGGAUAAGCUGGCAGAGGACCAGCCAGCUUCAGACGCCGAAGACUGAUGCCGGGCACUGCAGCGUUUGCUGCAGAUCCAGUCCCCUGGGAUGGAACCAGGAGCCAGGCAGCUAGCUGUGACUGAAUGCUCGGAGCCCU